UUUACUUCUUCCAGCCUGAAAUUCAACAUCUCAACAUCAUAUUAGAGAUUUAGGCUUUAAGUUUGAUCUGUGUGUUUGGCCUUCAUUGCCAAAAGUCUUGUGGUUCUUACUAGCCUUUAUUGCUGAUGUUUUUCAAUUAGCCUUGAUUUCUUGAAGAGAUAUCAGAAGUAGUGGAAACAAUCCCUUUAACACAAAUGGAGGAGAUUGUUCAAUCUCAACACCUCAAUGAGUUGCAAAAUAUCCUAGUUGCUUACAAGUUGAAUGGAAGAAAUCAUCUUAAAUGAUCUCAGCUUGUUUAAACCAUACUGAAAGGGAAAUUAUAGAUCAUCCAUCUCACAUGUUUGGGGCCAAAACAAGAGGAUCCUCAAUUUGAAGCAUAGGAUGAAGAAGAUUCUAUGAUCAUAGCAUGGCUAUGGAAUCCUAUGACCCCUGAGAUGAGUGGCACAUGAAUAUUCUUGGCUAUCGCCAAGGAUAUUUUGGAUGCACUCCAACAAACAUACUCUAAGGCAAGAGAUAUGGUCCAAGUGUACGAGGUCAAGGUAAAGACUAUGGCUGAAAAACAAGGGAGUAGGAUACUUACUGAAUAUGCCAAUCAGUUGAAAUCCUUGUGGCAGGAGCUUGUCAACUGCUGGGUUGUAAAACUAAAUAUUCUGAAGAUGCAGCUAUUCUAAAAGGCUUUAUUGUAUAAGAUAGUGUCUAUAAUUUUCUUGUUGGACUUGCAGAAUUUGACCAAUUCAUGAUCCAGAUUUUUGGCAAGGAUGAAGUUCCUUGUUUUAAUGAGGUUUUCACCAUAGUCUGAGGAGAAAAAAGUAGAAGAAACUUGAUGCUUGAACCACAAAUCAUAGAGAGCUCUACUAUGGUGGCUAAUGGUGGAAGUAAAUCAACCAUGAAUUCUGAAAAAACACAAACCUUUGAAAAUGAAAGACUUGGGUGACCAAAAGUGCAGAAUCAUGAGAACUUAUGGUGUACUUACUGUAAGAAGGCACGUCAUACCUGUGAAAAGUGCUGGAAGUUUCAUGGAAAAUAUCCAAGCUGAGAUUAGGGAUAGAAAGGAGAUCGAAUAAGAAAAUAUUGUUAGACACACGUUGCUGCAGUUCAACCAAAUGAAGAAACAUAUAAGGAGUCAAAUGGUCUCAGCCAAGAAGAGGUUAAGAGGGUAAGAUAUCUCAUUGGCAACAUCGAAAAGCCUUCAGGAAAGAAGAAGAUGUUGUUUGAGCCAAGUGACCUAAUGUCGAUACAUUUACGAAAAGUGCAUUUUCAAAAGCAGCACAAGUACAAGUUGCAACCACAAGGUGAUGGACUAUUCCCCGGGUGCUUGAGAAGAUUAAUGACAACGCGUACAAAAUUGAGCGCCCGGGUAAGUAUGGUCUAAGUGCUACUUUCAAUGUUGCAGACCUUUCACAUUUAUUCGAUUCAAUCGGGUUGAGGGUGAAUCCUUUUAAAGAGGGGGAGGAUGAUGAGGACAUCAUGCUCAUGGUUACUACACCACCAUCUACACCAUCUACCGAUGGUAAUACUUCAUCUGGUAUGGAAGAGAAAGCAUAUCAAGGACCAAUUACAUUAGGCCAUGCUAAACAAAUCUAAAAUAAGGUGUACCGGAGGUGAGGACAUAGUUCCAAACUUAGCCAAACAAAAGGAUAGCAAGAGAGAAGCAUUUGGAGCUAUGCCACAUAUGGGCCUCACACUCACGUAUGCGUCCAAAAAGGAAACUGUGCUUAUCUUUGCUGGCUCCACUCAAACAGAGGGAAAUGUGGUUUCCUUAUACGUCAAACCAGCCCAAAGAUAUUUUUUUCUACACUAACCCAAUUUCUGAAAAGAGACAAAAAUAGUAUGGCAUUUCAUUACCUUCGAUGCAACCUUUCUCGAAUCCUUUGUUCCACUGCUACACCGUAAAGGAGAACUGUGUGAGUAUCAUCAUAAGCUAUUGCCAUGUCCGCAGGUACUUCAUACAUCCUUCACAACCUUAGCAUAUGCCUAGGCUCCAUAUGGAAUCGCUCCAUGUAGAUGUCUCACAGUUCGGAUGUGAUUCUAGUGCUCCAGUCCCUCUGGUUCAUGCUUACAACCAAGUGAGUUUUGUAAAACUAAAACAUGUGGCUGAACUUGGUCUUGUGUAACAUACUCCACACCAGGCUGGAUGGUUGUAAUUGAGCUAAAAACAACUUACGAAGCAAUCAAAGCUUCCAUAUCCUCUUGUGUCACAUGGGUUUCCUCUUCCUCUUCUUUUCUUUGCUCUCCUAAGAAGAA